rnacentral:rRNA from 1 species
UGGUCAAGUUAUUAAGGGUGCAGGGCGGAUGCCUUGGCACUAGGAGCCGAUGAAGGACGUGAUAAGCUGCGAUAAGCUUCGGGGAGUUGCACGUAAACUUUGAUCCGAAGAUUUCCGAAUGAGGAAACUCACUUAGAGUAAUGUCUAAGUAUCAUUAAGUGAAUACAUAGCUUAAUGAGGGGAACUCAGGGAACUGAAACAUCUAAGUACCUGAAGGAAGAGAAAGAAAUUCGAUUCCGUAAGUAGCGGCGAGCGAACGCGGAAGAGCCCAAACCAAUAAAGUUUUCUUUAUUGGGGUUGCGGACAUAUCAUAACGAAGAGGUAUCGUAAUUGAAGAGGUUUGGAAAGACCCACCACAGAAGGUAAUAGUCCUGUAUGUUAAACGAGAAGACUUUAGAUAUGAUCCAGAGUACCACGGGACACGUGAAACCCUGUGGGAAGCAGGAGGGACCACCCUCCAAGGCUAAAUACUACCUAGUGACCGAUAGCGUAUAGUACCGUGAGGGAAAGGUGAAAAGAACCCCGGGAGGGGAGUGAAAUAGAACCUGAAACCCUGCACUUACAAGCUGUGGAAGCACAUUUCUUGUGUGACCGCGUACUUUUUGUAGAACGGGCCAACGAGUUACGUUAAGUAGCAAGGUUAAGCACUUAAGGUGUGGAGCCGUAGCGAAAGCGAGUUUUAACUGAGCGUUCAGUUACUUGACGUAGACCCGAAACCGGGCGACCUACCCAUGAGCAGGAUGAAGCGAAAGUAAAAUUUCGUGGAGGUCCGAACCCACGAGCGUUGAAAAGCUCGGGGAUGACUUGUGGGUAGCGGUGAAAUUCCAAUCGAGCCCGGAGAUAGCUGGUUCUCCCCGAAAUAGCUUUAGGGCUAGCCUCAAGGUGAGAGAUACGGAGGUAGAGCACUGAAUGUCCUAGGGGGUAUUGCACCUACCGAAGACUAUCAAACUCCGAAUGCCGUCAUCUUAUACUUGGGAGUCAGACUGUGGGUGAUAAGAUUCAUAGUCGAAAGGGCAACAGCCCAGAUCGUCAGCUAAGGUCCCUAAAUGUAAGUUAAGUGGUAAAGGAUGUGGGAUUGCACAGACAACCAGGAUGUUGGCUUAGAAGCAGCCACUCAUUCAAAGAGUGCGUAAUAGCUCACUGGUCGAGUGAUCCUGCGCCGAAGAUUUCCGGGGCUAAAACUUACUACCGAAGCUACGGCAUCAUUAUGAUGGGUAGGGGAGCUUCCCAUACGGGUUGAAGCAUGACCGUAAGGACAUGUGGACAGUAUGGGAGUGAGAAUGUUGGCAUGAGUAGCGAGAUGUGGGUGAGAAUCCCACAGGCCGUAAACCCAAGGUUUCCAGGGGAAGGUUCGUCCGCCCUGGGUUAGUCGGGACCUAAGCUGAGGCCGAAAGGCGUAGGUGAUGGACAACAGGUUGAUAUUCCUGUACUACCGAUAACCGUUUGAGAGAUGGGAUGACACAGUAGGAUAAGCUAAGCACACUGUUGGUUAUGUGUGCCCAAGCAUUGAGGCAGUCAGAGUAGGUAAAUCCGCUUUGAUAAUGCUGGGAUGUGAUGGGGAGCGAAAUUUAGUAGCGAAGUAGCUGAUUUCACACUGUCAAGAAAAGUCUCUAUCGAGGUUAAAGGUACCCGUACCGCAAACCGACACAGGUGGGUGAGGAGAGUAUCCUAAGGCCCGCGAGAGAACUGUUGUUAAGGAACUCGGCAAAAUGACCCCGUAACUUAGGGAUAAGGGGUGCCACCAUCCGGUGGCCGCAGAGAAUAGGCCCAAGCGACUGUUUACCAAAAACAUAGGUUUCUGCUAAGUCGCAAGACGAUGUAUAGGAGCUGACGCCUGCCCGGUGCUGGAAGGUUAAGGGGAUCUGUUAGAGCAAUCGAAGCAGUGAACUUAAGCCCCAGUAAACGGCGGCCGUAACUAUAACGGUCCUAAGGUAGCGAAAUUCCUUGUCGGGUAAGUUCCGACCCGCACGAAAGGCGUAACGAUUUGGGCACUGUCUCAACAACAGACUCGGUGAAAUUGUAAUUCCGGUGAAGAUGCCGGAUACCUGCGACAGGACGGAAAGACCCCAUGGAGCUUUACUGUAGCUUGACAUUGGGUCUUGGUACUACAUGUACAGGAUAGGUGGGAGGCUUUGAAACCAGGACGCCAGUUUUGGCGGAGCCAUCCUUGGGAUACCACCCUUGUAGUACUGGGACUCUAACCAUAGGCCAUGAAUCUGGUCUUGGGACACUGUCAGGUGGGCAGUUUGACUGGGGCGGUCGCCUCCCAAAAGGUAACGGAGGCGCUCAAAGGUUCUCUCAGUACGGUCGGAAAUCGUACGUAGAGUGUAAAGGCAAAAGAGAGCUUGAUUGCAAGACAUACAGGUCGAGCAAGGAUGAAAAUCGGACUUAGUGAUCCGGUGGUUCUGCGUGGAAGGGCCAUCGCUCAACGGAUAAAAGCUACCCUGGGGAUAACAGGCUUAUCUCCCCCAAGAGUCCACAUCGACGGGGAGGUUUGGCACCUCGAUGUCGGCUCAUCACAUCCUGGGGCUGUAGUAGGUCCCAAGGGUUGGGCUGUUCGCCCAUUAAAGUGGUACGCGAGCUGGGUUCAGAACGUCGUGAGACAGUUCGGUCCCUAUCCGUCGCAGGCGUAGGAAAUUUGAGAAGACCUGUCCUUAGUACGAGAGGACCGGGAUGGACGUACCUCUGGUGUACCAGUUGUUCUGCCAAGGGCAUGGCUGGGUAGCUAUGUACGGAAUGGAUAAGCGCUGAAAGCAUCUAAGCGCGAAGCCAACUUCAAGAUAAGAUUUCCCACCGCAAGGGUAAGACCCCAGAAAGACUAUCUGGUUGAUAGGUCGAAGGUGUAAGUGCAGCAAUGUAUUUAGCUUAUCGAUACUAAUAGGUCGAGGACUUGACCAAAUU